CCGCCUUUAAACAAGUCUGACGUCCCAGAUCAAAUAUCAUAUAGCUUUGAAAAAAAAAUAUAUAUUAUUGUGGAGGUGAUCCGCCAAUCGGAUCGACCCCUCUCUUUGAGACACGCUCAAGGCAACUCGAUGAAGUUGCAAUAGAUGUAGGUUUGGGACCUCGACCCUACAUUUAUUUCAGAUCACCGAAUCAAUUGGUCACAUGGGUAAAACCCGCGAUAGGCAUUCAUGACUAACAAUCUUGAUCUGAAGAUUUGUGGAUGG
rnacentral:lncRNA from 1 species